GGUUUAUAGAAGCUGUAAGGACUGUUGAGGAUAAAGAGACCAACCCAGAUGCCUAGAAAUAAGUCUUCAAUCGGUGGAGCUGGAUGGAGGUCAUACAGAAAGCUCCAGGGUUCCACUUUAUACAGAUAAGUGGACAGUUCUUGGCAUUUCCCCAGGAAAGGCGUCACACAGCAAUGAGGGAUCACCUGUGAUGGGUGGAGUGCUGCAGUGAUGUACUGUUGGGAAUCACCAAUACUCCUUGAGGCCUCUGCAAACCAAAUCUCACUGAACUCCAGCAACAGGCUUCAACACUGACAAGGACAGCCAGGUCUUCGGGGCACUGGCUAGAGCCCAGACACGUGCAAGCAUUUGCACAUACUGAAACUAAUCCCGUCAGCAGCUCUUUUAUGAGACACCGUCAGACUUCUAAUACUACGGUUGAUCCUGGGAAUUGUCAAACUUGAUCUCAUCUCAAGGCCUUUGCACAUGUGGCUCCCUGUACAAAAGGAAUGUUUUUCUCCCCACACCCAUCCCUCUUUUAGAGCUCAACUUCCCCAAAGCUCUCUUACUAUUCAUUCUCAAAAGACCAGACUGUAUGUAUUUGUCCUUGUUCAGCUUUCUUCACUUGUAAGUAACUGAGCUCACCUUCUGACCUGCCUGUUUUCUGUCCCAUCUGCUGUUGUUUACAUGAUUUUCUUACUCUUCCAUCCUGUGUUAUUACGCAGUAUGGGCUUACUGAACGUUGGCUGAUAAGCUGUGUGUGAUAUCCUCACAAAGAACUAGGCAUGCCACAUCCCUCGAGGGACUCUGACAGCCUGAGCACGGCAAACAUGGCUCACCCUUCUCCCCCACUUCCCCUGCUUGCUGAAAACCAUUAGGUCACAUUCCUAAAGCUGGCCACUGAGGUCUAGUCCCUAUUUGUCCACUUCCUCCUUCUGAGGUUGACUACCAAGAUUCAGUUAUCAAAGCAUUGAAGUCCAGCAAGCAAAGCCCCCUUUGGCUCACCUAAUUCGCACCCAAUUAAGUUAAGCACCUCGUCUUAACACGGGGUUUUUCCCUUUACCUUUAUAAACUCUCAUUUGCCUGUGGACCACGUCUGUGUCCUCUUUAUCCAGAAGCAGUCCUUUGUCCCUCUGGGGCAGACACCCUUCCCCCUCUCCCUUCAUUCUCCCCCUUCUCCCUCGUUCUCUAUCCUGCCUUUGUCUCUUAUUCCCUGCCCUUUGUCCCUCUGGGGCAAAUAAUCGCUUUUGUGUUGAGAACUUGGUCUUGAGGUGUCCCAAGCUGAUACCAGAUCCUUUCACACCUCCCGUGUGCAAUAUCAAAUAAUCACCUGUUAAAGAAAAGAUCUGGAUGCAGAACUCUCUUCUGCCAGCUGUGGCCGUGUGCCACAUGCUCCAUGCCAUGAGGAUAACGGACCAAGCCCCGGAGACAGCACGCAAGUCCAAUGAAAUGCCUUCUUUUAUGAGUUUCCACAGUCAUGGAGUUUCUUCCCUGCGACAGAGCACUGACCACAUCACCAAGUGAUAAGACUGGGCUGCCUCUCUUGAGCAUCGUCGGCCAUGAGGGUCCCACAGAUCUCCAGACAGCACAGGUGGUUGCCGUGGUUCUUGGCUACCCUCCAGAAUUUGAUGGACAGUAAGACCCUAUUGCUGAAGACAUUACAUGCCUGACUCAUAGAACACAGAGACAUCAAACUGGUACUGACUGGCCAGGAGGCUUCACCCCCAUUGGCUAGUGUUCACAGUGCUAAAAGGUGCUAUGAGCUUUACUGGGGCAGAAAUUCAGCCAUUGGCCUUACCCAGCUGUGAACCCUGUGAGUGACAGAAAACACUAGCCUGGAAAGACACGCCAACUGCACAAUAGAAUAACUAACAUGGGAGUGCCAGCCUGGUUUGGAACACUUCCUGAUUGGAUUUUAGGGUCUACUUCGUAAGAUAAAUGUCAUGUGUAGCACCAGUAAAGAGGCCAAGGACAAAUGGCCACAUAGAUCACAGGUCCCAGGGGACAACUUACUAUGUUCCUGCUAACUGGACAUAGUAUUAAAUCCACUUCUGCAGAUUUA